AUGUUAAAAUCAUACGAUUUUCAGGAACACCUAAGUGUGUUUACAAAUUCCAUGCAUAUCCACUGGAUUUCUUCAAAACAGAAAGCCAUUGUGAUGCAACACAGAAAUUACUGGAGACCCAGCAUGUGGAUGACAGCAGCAGCACAAAAGGAGCACACCACCUUAACAGCAGGCUUGAUGGUUGUUCACACAAGGAGUCUGGCCUGCAUAAUUGUAUCACUAAUAAGCAGUAAGGCAAUUAGUUGUCACAGCCUCUGUGACAGAUUUGUAGUAAGCAGCUGUCUCAGGUGUUCUCUCUCUUACAGAUAAUAUAACUGAUCAGAUAUUCUGAAAAUAUAUACUUAAGAAGUUAAAUGAAUA
rnacentral:lncRNA from 1 species